rnacentral:lncRNA from 1 species
UCAAAGCUCUUACUAUAUAGUUAUGUAUUUUUAUCUUGUUUUUAGAUGAGUGUUCAAUAGACAUUCACCUGAACUGCCUCAUGGAGGAAGUCUCUAGAUGAUGCUAAGGAAGAGUGAUGUUUCAGGGUCCAUUCAAGCCAGACUGCAGUAGGAUGCUGAUAAUUUCCAAAUGGGCUACUAUGGGUUGUACGUCAAUAAGAAGGACCUUGAUCCCAGAAAUAGGAAGUGGGAUUUAAGAAGCAAUCAUCUGUAAAAAGAACUGGUAAGUAUAGGAAUAAUUCUAUCUAACCAUUGGCUGUGACAAACAGCAAUAAGAAUGAC